rnacentral:lncRNA from 1 species
ACUGGCUUUACUUUUUUAUUGUUAUCGUUAUGGUCCUUUCAAACUGUAUUGUCCUUUUCAACUGUUUAUUGCCCUGAGUUGAAAAAGAAUCAAAAUGGAGCAACUGGAAUGGACCUUCAUGCUGAACUUCAGCCCUUCUUCCCGUCCAAACCAAAGUCUUCUGCUCCUCCAAAGGCACAGCUUGCCUCUGUAACUUCACUGACACCACCUGGAGCUGCAGGGAGCUCGGGGCUGUCCACACAGCAGCUCAGUGGACACCAGUCACAGUCCUGCCCUCUUCUUUAGUGCUCACCUGGAGGAGGCAAGGAGAUUGAGUCUGUCUGCUGGAUACCUCCUGUUGUCCCAGCACAGCUCAGUGGACACCAGUCUCAGUCCUACCCUUUUCCUUAGGACUCACCUGGAGGCAGCAAGGAGCUCAAGGUGAUCUGCUGGACUCAUUCUUUCAUCCCAGCCACAGCAGCUCAGUGGACACCAGUCCCAGUCCUGCUUUCUUCCUCAGGGCUCACCUGGAGGCUGCAGGGAACUUGAGGCUUUCUGCUGGAUGACUCCUCUUGUCUCAGCACAGCCCCAUGGACACCAGUCCAAGUCCUUCCCUUUUCCUCAGAGCUUGGGAAAGAAGAAGGGAGAGGUCCUGGGGAAAGAUGGGGAAUGGGGAAGGAAGGGGUAGGGAGCAGCAGCCGUCGCAGGGGCUCUCUGGCGGAUGGCGACACUUCAACGCCGAGGUGGAAAUCGAGAGCCCCUGGUGUGCCGCCAACGGAUGUGACAACGUCUCCGGGCAAGCAGGAUGUUAUAGGAUUUGCCCGAGCCCGAUGGAGAUGGAUCCACCUCCAUUGGCUCUUCCUGCAGAGGUAGAUCCACCUCCAUGGGCUCGACGUCGUCUGCAGGUGGAUCAAUUUCCAUUGGUUCAGGCCUGCUGCCGCUCCCCUGAAGCUUAAGCUUCUUUGUUGGAGGAGGAUCCAUCCUCCUCCAGAAAGGUGGGAGAGAGGGAGAGCUCUAUAUA